rnacentral:lncRNA from 1 species
AGGAAUUAGCCUUAAUACAAUCUUCUUAUCAAAAGAAGAAAUGUUUUAGGCAAUGUGUUACAAGUAAGAGGAAUGUCAUUACAUUCCAUUUUAUCUUACUUAAGAGGGAACUUGUGCUUUGAAAGAAUUGAUUGCAUAAAUUUUUUUGAUGAUAUUUUCUUAACAAAUAUCUAUUUGAUUUUUGAAUUGUUAUUAUGGUGAUAAAUUGCUUGUAUAUAUAUAUAUAUCGGAAAUGGCUUCACUUGAUUAAAUGUUGGAAAUGCAAAUAUGCUCGCAUGAAGCAUUCAAUUCAAUUUCUAGCAAAUUGAGAUGUCAACGACGGAGGAUGACAUCAAGACAAACCGGGUAUGAUCGUUCCUUACUCUACCCUUUAGCUAGUUGAAUUGGUAUUAUAUCGCUCACAUGAAGCAUUCAAUUCAAUUUCUAGCAAAUUGAGAUGUCAACGAUGGAGGAUGACAUCAACAAACCGGGUAUGAUCGUUCCUUACUCUACCCUUUAGCUAGUUGAAUUGGUAUUAUAUAUCACAAGUAUUGAUAUGAAUGUUAUUUUGAUAAAUUGCAUAAUUGAUUAAGUGCAUAAAUUGU